rnacentral:lncRNA from 1 species
UUAAUUGGUUGUAAAUUUGAGCUUUAAAAUUAAAAUUCACAACUCAAAUGUAGAUUGGUUGUGAAUUCGAGUUUUAAAUUAAAACUAAAAUUUACAAUCGAGAAUAUUCUUAACUACAAGAAAUCUGGGCGGAAGUCGAUGGACUUGAGUUAACGAUGAAAUUCUAUCCACAGGUGAGUUCCGACAUAUCAUUGUUGGACCUCCGACACCACUUUCUGCCGCAAAAAGGCGAUGUCAUGGCUGACGACAAGGCCGACAAAGGAGUUAGGCGACGUCACACAAUCCAUCCACUGAUCCAAUUUAAUCAGCCGCACGAAAGUCCCUCCCUCAUUUUGUCAUAAACCAUAUCUCUCUUUCCCACUUCGAUUUUUGCCGUUACCGCUCGCUUCUCUCUCCCCCUCUUCCGUCCGUCCCCACGUACUCUCUCUCUCUCUCUCCUUCUCCUUUGCCUUCUUUUUUCCGUAUCUUUGCCUAAUUUUUUAAUUUGGGCAAAGCAACCAUUGUUGCCGGCUCGACGCCCACCACCAAAGAUUCAGUGAAUGCACAAAUAAACACACGCGAGAAAUCUAGAAUAUCUAGAAAUGAAGAACCUGGUAUGCAAAAAUAAAGGAAAAUAGGGACGAAUGAGGUACGGACUUCGCACUCCUCUCUGCUGAUAAACUCUUUUGACAACUUUGGAUGAUAAUUUCCCAUAACACAAUGACAGUAGACGAAAAUGGUAGUAUGAGAAUAGCAGAGACAAUAAUAUGCGAAAGAUAUAUAUAUAUUGCUUAGAACUUUAAAUGCCGGAAUUCUAGAUUGAAAGUGAACGUGUCUUUACAAUGGUUUUCUCUCCUUUUAUAUGACUAGAAACGAAGGGUAAAAUAGUUUUCUAAGAAUUACGUGCACAACGUUAGUUAUAAUCAUCAUGAGAAUCUAACUAGAAAUCGACUAUUAAUUAACUAACUAUUUUAUUUUUUCCCCUCAUGACUGUCCAAGGUCAGUUAUGGGUUGUCAUCUUUAAGAUCACAUGUUCUUCAUAUUAUUCGCCAAGGUUGAUAAACUUUACGGCGUUUACUGGUAUCAGGGCUGUCACUUGGGAUCAUCUCACGACUGACUCAGCAUAUCACCGCCCUUAGCGUUGAUCAACAUUUCACUCUUGACUCGUCAUGCCCUAGAUGAUACAUUAUGAUAUGUCAUGUCGAUCACAUAAUAAAGAUAUAAUGUUAGUACUAAUAAUCUCGUUUGGACCCCUGCCUUCCACUCGAGGAAAAUGUCAUCGGUCUGUCACAACUCACGCUAAAUACUACUAUGCAUGAUAUAUAUACUCCACAUCAGUUUUGAUUGUGAAUUUGAGUUUUGAAAUCAAAGUUCACAAUUCGAAUAUAGAUUGAUUGUUAAUUCGAGUUUUAAAUUUAAAUUCACAACUAAUCAUAAGUUGAUUAUGAAUUGCAGG